rnacentral:rRNA from 1 species
CCUACGGGUGGCAGCAGUCGAGAAUCAUUCACAAUGGGGGAAACCCUGAUGGUGCGACGCCGCGUGGGGGAAUGAAGGUCUUCGGAUUGUAAACCCCUGUCAUGUGGGAGCAAAUUAAAAAGAUAGUACCACAAGAGGAAGAGACGGCUAACUCUGUGCCAGCAGCCGCGGUAAUACAGAGGUCUCAAGCGUUGUUCGGAAUCACUGGGCGUAAAGGGUGCGUAGGCUGUUUCGUAAGUCGUGUGUGAAAGGCGAGGGCCCAACCCGCGGACGGCACAUGAUACUGCGGGACUAGAGGAAAGGAGGGGGAACCGGAAUUCUCGGUGUAGCAGUGAAAUGCGUAGAUAUCGGGAGGAACACUCGUGGCGAAGGCGGGUUCCUGGACAUUAACUGACGCUGAGGCACGAAGGCCAGGGGAGCGAAAGGGAUUAGAUACCCCUGUAGUC